GCGCUCUUAGCUCAACUGGAUAGAGCACCGGCCUUCUAAGCCGGGGGUUGCAGGUUCGAGUCCUGCAGGGCGCGCCA
rnacentral:tRNA from 1 species